rnacentral:lncRNA from 1 species
CCGAGCUCCAGCUUAGGUUAAACCAGAUCCAUGUCCCACAUCUAAUAGAAAACACCAAGCUUGGUGUGUGCAUAUGCAUGUGUGUGUGUGUGUCUAAGAAGCAGGAACAUAUAUAGAUUCACUGCAUGGUACCCACCUAUAUGUCAGGUGAUUUGCAUACAGUCCCAUAUAGGGCCAUUAAGAUCAAUCUAGUACUCUAGUAUGUUACAGUAUUGCAGGCUGGGAACUGAGACUCCAAGGGGUACAGGUGCCUUGCCCAGAGGACAUUGUCUCGGUAUGCUCAAGGAUUCCAGUCUGUGCUAUCUAAAGCUUAACCAAUUCAACUCGUCCGAAAUGGUCUCUUCCAAACUGAUAGCCCUCAAGCCUGCCAUCUUUCCGUCUAGCAGACUCACUAGAAGCCAGGUCCCGUCAGAUCUCUUCUUGCCCCUCUGUACCCCCAUAUCUAAGCCUCACUGAGCUGGUCCAUCACCAUCCCUCUGUCCACCAUUUCUGUGCAGUUCUGUGGAAGAGUGCUUUCUCCUGCCCUCUCCCCAUGAUGCCUUGGCUGCUGUAAUUUCUCUCUUGGCCUUCUAGAACUAUCUCCCUCUUGUUUGCCCAUCCCUCAUGUCUAUACCUUCCUCCUCUCCAGGCUAUCUCUCCACGGCACCCACAAGGAUUGUCUCAAAUGCCAACCUGGGUGGUGGUGAUGUCAUAAUGUAAUGUCAUACGAGGCAUUCCCACCUUUGGGAACCUCCUGAGGAUUGGUCAGUCCCGGCUAGGGACACAGCUCUUAGACUUUGAGCUAGACAACCAGGAGGACAGGAGGACCUAGUAUCCUGCCUCCAUCAGCCCAUCAUUUAUGCAAAUGCUACUUAGUUGCCGUCUAGAUGCAGGAUGCUGUCUGCCCUGUUAAAUGCUGUGUGAACCCAGAUGGAAGCUGAGCAGACAUCACACUCGUGAGCAGCUCCCCUUCCUAUGCUGAGAUUAAAGGCAUGUGCCAUCACCACCUGAACAACAGCAGCUUUCUAAGGAACCAGUAAGGCACUACAGACUUUUCAUAUAACAUCACCUUCAUUCUCUCACAACUAAUUCUACAAAACAGAUGUUAUACGACCUCGUUCGCUGAAGUCAAAGAUGCAGAGGGGCCAAGGUGUGGGCUCCGGACCUCACACCAGUGUGGCAGAUUCAACAAGCCCAGAAUAAGCCUCUUCCUUUGCUCACAAUAAGAUUAAGCCAACUGCCUCUUCAUUCCUCAGUCACACUCCUCCUCUGACCCUGCUCCAGGAGGCUCAUCUUGUCAGACUUCACACUGAAUGAGCGCUGAGGAUGCUGUAGAGUAUGAGCUGUGUGCAGGUUUCAAAAGCAAUUUGUGCCCCUGAAACAAGCCAACCAGCAGAGAAGGAACAAAAGAAACAUGGUGUCUUCUACCUCCAGCCUUGAAGCUUCCAGACCUCCCUACACGAACCCCCCCCCCACACCCACUCCCCGAAAUGAUGUCCCAGUGAAGAGCCAGGCUCUUAUCCUUCCAUCCAUGCCUCUCAGGCGUCUGCUUCAUUUAGCAUGUAUGUGCAUUUUACCAGGUUAAUGCAACACAGACUAUUUCCUAGUAGCUGUGAAGCCCAGUGUAGCCUCUGCUGCCGGACACAUGGUUUGUCUCCAGUCUUUCCCUUCCCAGCAAAGCAGCCUUGACUCAUCUCCUUUCUCUAUGACAGAGCCCUU